GUACGAGAAACCUAAUAAAGAACUCAUAGGAUUGUUCCUAUGGUAAGGAAGUGGUAUAGGAUGGGGAGAACCAACAAUGCUUUUCCACUGGACAUGCACGUUUGGGUCUAUAGUAGACAGAGCUGCAACAGAAUAAACACUAUAUCCAGAGGUAUCUUCAGGUCAAAGUGCAAGUGUAUCAUGCUGCACAUGCAUUUUUGGGAUGUGUGCCUGGUCAGAAUUUGCCAGUCACCAGAACAUCGGCAGUAUGUGUUGAGUCCCUUUGAGUCCUUUUUACAUUCAUUUCUAAGAGGAAAAUGGCCAAUAUCAGGAGUCACUGAGUGUCUCCAAAUUGCAGCUGUGGUUGCCUACUCAAAUUACUAGGAAAUUGGAGCCGAGUUUUUAGCAAACUCGAAAAUUAUUGUACAGCAA
rnacentral:lncRNA from 1 species